rnacentral:rRNA from 1 species
UAAGGAGUAUUGGGCAAUGGACGCAAGUCUGACCCAGCCAUGCCGCGGGAAGGAUGAAGGCCCUAUGGGUUGUAAACUUCUUUUAUACGGGAAAAAACCACCGGUCGUGUAUCGGUGCUGAUGGUACCGUAAGAAUAAGCAUCGGCUAACUCCGUGCCAGCAGCCGCGGUAAUACGGAGGAUGCAAGCGUUAUCCGGAUUCAUUGGGUUUAAAGGGUGCGCAGGCGGAUUAAUAAGUCAGUGGUGAAAUCCUACGGCUCAACUGUAGAACUGCCAUUGGUACUGUUAGUCUUGAGUAUUGUUGAGGUAGGCGGAAUGUGUCAUGUAGCGGUGAAAUGCUUAGAUAUGACACAGAACACCAAUCGCGAAGGCAGCUUACCAAGCAAUACCUGACGCUCAUGCACGAAAGCGUGGGGAUCCAACAGUAUUAGACAUCCGAGUAGUC